rnacentral:rRNA from 1 species
ACUCAAAUGAAUAGACGGGGGCCCGCACAAGCGGAGGAACAUGUGGUUUAAUUCGAUGAUACGCGAGGAACCUUACCCGGGUUUGAAAUGCAAUCGACCGAUUAUGAAAGUAGUUUUCCAGCAAUGGCGAUUGUGUAGGUGCUGCAUGGUUGUCGUCAGCUCGUGCCGUGAGGUGUCGGCUUAAGUGCCAUAACGAGCGCAACCCUUGCCGUUAGUUGCUAGCAGGUUAAGCUGAGGACUCUAGCGGGACUGCCAUCGUAAGGUGCGAGGAAGGUGGGGAUGACGUCAAAUCAGCACGGCCCUUAUGUCCGGGGCGACACACGUGUUACAAUGGGGGGUACAGCGGGCAGCUACCGGGCGACCGGAUGCUAAUCUCUUAAAUCCUCUCUCAGUUCGGAUCGGAGUCUGCAACUCGACUCUGUGAAGCAGGAUUCGCUAGUAAUCGCGCAUCAGCCACGGCGCGGUGAAUACGUUCCCGGGCCUUGUACACACCGCCCGU